rnacentral:rRNA from 1 species
GAGUUUGAUCCUGGCUCAGAAUCAACGCUGGCGGCGUGCCUCAGACAUGCAAGUCGAACGAUUAAACUUUCCUUCGGGAAAGAUAUAAAGUGGCGCACGGGUGAGUAACACGUAGGUAAUGUGCCUUUGGGUGGGAAAUAACUUAGGGAAACUUAAGCUAAUACCGCAUAAUGCAGCGGCUCCUUCGGGAGACAGUUGUUAAAGAUUUAUCGCCUAAAGAGCAGCCUGCGGCAGAUUAGCUAGUUGGUAAGGUAACGGCUUACCAAGGCUACGAUCUGUAUCCGACCUGAGAGGGUGGUCGGACACACUGACACUGAAUAACGGGUCAGACUCCUACGGGAGGCAGCAGUCGGGAAUUUUGGGCAAUGGGCGAAAGCCUGACCCAGCAACGCCGCGUGAAGGAUGAAGUCUUUCGGGAUGUAAACUUCGUAAGAAUAGGAAGAAUAAAUGACGGUACUAUUUGUAAGGUCCGGCUAACUACGUGCCAGCAGCCGCGGUAAUACGUAGGGACCAAGCGUUGUUCGGAUUUACUGGGCGUAAAGGGCGCGUAGGCGGCGUGUCAAGUCAAUUGUGAAAUCUCCGAGCUUAACUCGGAACGGUCAAUUGAUACUGAUGUGCUAGAGUGCAGAAGGGGCAAUCGGAAUUCUUGGUGUAGCGGUGAAAUGCGUAGAUAUCAAGAGGAACACCUGAGGUGAAGACGGGUUGCUGGGCUGACACUGACGCUGAGGCGCGAAAGCUAGGGUAGCAAACGGGAUUAGAUACCCCGGUAGUCCUAGCCCUAAACGAUGAAUACUUGGUGUCUGGAGUUUUAAUUCUCCNGGUGCCGUCCCUAACGUUUUUAGUAUUCCGCCUGGGGAGUACGCACGCAAGUGUGAACUCAANGAAUUGACGGGGACCNCNCAACGGUGGAGCAUGUGGUUAAUUCNACNCACNCGAAAACCUUACUGACUAAANGCANGNANAUGGUAAUGCAAUCGUCGGCACCACCCAACAGGGCUCUGGNNUCCUCACUCNGUCNGNAUNUGGNUAAUCCCACNNCCANCCUUAAANUGCUAAAUAGUAAACCUUAAACGCUUAAACGAAAGGGGGA